rnacentral:rRNA from 1 species
CCUACGGGAGGCUGCAGUGGGGAAUAUUGCACAAUGGGGGGAACCCUGAUGCAGCGACGCCGCGUGAGCGAGGAAGUAUUUCGGUAUGUAAAGCUCUAUCAGCAGGGACGAAAAAAGACGGUACCUGACUAAGAAGCCCCGGCUACCUACGUGCCAGCAGCCGCGGCAAUACGUAGGGGGCAAGCGUUAUCCGGAUUUACUGGGUGUAAAGGGAGCGUAGACGGCAAGGCAAGCCAGCAGGGAAAGGGAAGGGCUCAACCCUGUACAUGCUUUUGGAACUGUGGUGCUAGAGUGCAGGAGAGGUAAGUGGAAUUCCUAGUGUAGCGGUGAAAUGCGUAGAUAUUAGGAGGAACACCAGUGGCGAAGGCGGCUUACUGGACUGUAACUGACGUUGAGGCUCGAACGCGUGGGGAGCAAACAGGAUUAGAUACCCUAGUAGUC